rnacentral:lncRNA from 1 species
GAGGAUGUCUGGGAGGAGCCGUGGAGGCAGCCCCAUCCCGAUUAAUGAGGAGGCUGGGAAAUGGCAGCGAAUAACGGGGUACAGUGGCACGAGCCACACCAGCUUGUGUGCAGGAGCGGAGGGCAAAGAGGCAGAUAAAGCCCCGCUAACCCACUGACAUGACUGCGCGUUUGUGGAGCAGGAUGCCUUGGGAAGGGCAGGGAAGUCUCCACCUGAGCAAGGAGAGGGUAUGCACAGGCUAAGAUUGUCCAGAGUGGAAGAGAGUCAGUGAGCGCUGGUGUUUUGAAGCAGAGAAGUAGACAUGAGAUGCCUGAGCUCCCAGCUCACCCGGCGCCUGGUGCCCCGGGAGAUCGCAGUUCUGCAGCUCCAUCUGGAUCCCAGUGAGAGGAGAAGGGACCUUUCAAGCUUUUGAGUUCUUGUCACUGUUGGUUAUCACCUGCCUGGACUUGCUGCCUGACAUCUCCAGACUUCUCCAAGAAGGUCCAGUCUGCGUCUCCGAUGGCCCCAGAGAAGAGGUGGCUUUUGCUCAUGAAUACAGAGGGUUUCUGCGUUGCUUCCCAUCCCAUCGGUCCACCCUUGGGGAGGCAGCCAGCAAAAUCCAGGGAGCCAGGGGAAAAUCCUAUGUAACUCCUGUAUGUUGUGGCUGUCUUUGGUGCCCUAAAUACUCCUGGGCAGGAGUGUCCUCUGCUUGGGCAGAGAGAUCUAAGCAAGCCACUGUCUCAACUAGCAAAAUACUGUGUGCUUGAAGGUUAGAGAGAGCAGGCAGGAAAUCUGAGCUGGUGGAGUGUUGUUUUGUAGCACCGGGGAACAUGCAGGUUGGGCUUUGAUCACGGAGUGCAGCCAUCCUGGUGGGGCUGUGUGUAUAAAGCCUGCCGGACUGCACAUCUCUCCAGGCUGGACAUCCCUGCUGCUCUUUUUGCACUUGUCUCUGUUCCUGUAAGAGAAAUGUACUGGCUGUAAUUCCUUUCCAUUAAAAUCACCCCCCACCCAAUGCACUGUUGAAAAUAAAUACUCUUUUACAAAAAUGAGCCGUGUGAUU